rnacentral:lncRNA from 10 species
CAAAUAUGCUACUUAGUAUACACACUAAUGUUUGCUCACCCUUUGAGCAUAAGCUCAAAUUUUAUUGUGGCUUAUCUUCUCCAAAAAAUGGGUCGAAAUUUUUGUAGAAUAGACAAAUCAAGAAUGAUGACUUCUUAAGAUGCAGUAUUCAAGUUCAGAAAUCUAUACUCAGAUGACCUUAUGUAGGUCAUCUGCUUCUGAGGUUUAUCUCACCAGUGGUUUUCUUCUGAUUGCCAAGUGUUCUUUUUACCCCCAACAGGCAUCCUGACUCAAGCUGUAUACAUUUGCAAUAUCUGAUUUUUAACCACACACUCUUCAUCCUAUUGACCCAGAGUGAAAAUUGAUACUCUUAGCUGAAGGACUGUUCCCUUGAGUAUAUUUAAACCAGACCAAUCUCUGUGUUUAAUCUGGGUUCAUCAGGAACCAUUAGCCUUGAUUGGUUUGUUUUUCUCCCCCUCCAUCUCAGGACUUGAUUCUAUUGAGUUAACAACUAUUCUCCCCAGAGAACAGCUACCGCAAGCCUGUUUCAAGUAAUUCCAAUAUCUGGCUCUUAGAAAUUGAACUGAUCUUUUUUUUCUUUAGUUUUAUGUGAAGAACUGCAGUAAUGAAUUCUGAAUUUGUUCAAAUCAUUGAAGAUGUGUGAAGACAAAACAUUCACUCAAAUCUCUAUCAUGUUAGCAUGUUAUUUAUCAUUGCUCUGUUCUUCAUUGUUGAAUAAUGCAAUUGAGUUAAAAAGAAUAAACAUUAUUUACCGAAGACUCAUAUGUUGAUAUCCAGUAAAUCCUCAUUAAUCACAAUUUGACAAGCUUGCAAUUUCUGGUAUUUCAGGAAGGAACUAGGUAUAUGUUUAUCUGUGCAAAAUAUCAAAAAAUGCAUUAGUAAGCCUUUUAGUAAUGUAAAUAAGACUGCGGAAGAAUUAUUAGAGCAAACUAUAUUUUGUUUAAACUAUUCCGGCAUAACACAUAACUCAGAAAAUAAGACAAUCUAUCGAAGCCUUACAAAUUACAAUCUGUGAGGCCUGUCAUAACUUUCAUAAGAAUGCUUAAUUACAUUGUGCUGCUGAUAUAAAGAACCCAUCUCUAAAUACAGUUAAAACAUUAUCCAGAUUUUCAAACAUAAUUUCAAGGGGGAUAAUAAGUAGAAAAACUACGGGGUUAUUUUUCAGAUCAUAUAUUUCUAGCUCUACUUUUGAAUAUCUG